CAAUACCACUUGAUUGCCUUGAGCCAAUACUAGCCCUAAGCAUAGCCAACACUAAUACCAAGCCAACACACACUAAACCAUUCACCUACACAAAGUAUAGGCGAUAGAAAUUUUAAUCUGGCGCUAUAGAUAUAGUACCGUAAGGGAAAGAUAGAAAACCACCCAAGCACAAAACAGCAAGGACUAACUCCUGUACCUUUCACAUAAUGGAUUAGCUAGAAACAAUUUCACAAAGAGAACUACAAGCCAAAUUCCCCGAAACCAGACGAGCUACCCAAAAACAGCUAAAAGAGCGCACCCAUCUAUGUGGCAAAAUAGUGGGAAGAUUUCUGGGUAGAGGUGACAAGCCUACCGAGCCUGGUGAUAGCUGGUUAUCCAAGACAGAAUCUUAGUUCGACCUUAAGCUUACCUGCAGAACUACCUAAUCCCCCUGUAAGCUUAAUUGCUAGUCUAAAGAGGGACAGCUCUUUAGACACUAGGAAAAAACCUUACGGAGAGAGUAAAACCCCCAAUUACCAUAGUUGGCCUAAAAGCAGCCAUCAAUUAAGAAAGCGUUCAAGCUCAACAUCAACCACCUCAAAAAUACCAAACACAUAACUGAACUCCUCACACCACAUUGGAUUAAUCUAUCACCCUAUAGAAGCAAUAAUGCUAGUAUAAGUAACAUGAAUAUUUUCUCCACUGCAUAAGCCUAAAUCGGACCGAAAGCCUCACCGAUACUUAACAGCCAGGCAUAGCAAGCACAAACAAGCCCAUGCUACCUUCACUGUUAAUCCAACACAGGCAUGCCUUAAGGAAAGGUUAAAAAAAGUAAAAGGAACUCGGCAAACUCAAACCCCGCCUGUUUACCAAAAACAUCACCUCUAGCAUUACUAGUAUUAGAGGCACUGCCUGCCCAGUGACACACGUUUAACGGCCGCGGUACCCUGACCGUGCAAAGGUAGCAUAAUCACUUGUUCUUUAAAUAGGGACUCGCAUGAAUGGCACCACGAGGGUUUAACUGUCUCUUACUUUUAACCAGUGAAAUUGACCUGUCCGUGAAGAGACGGACAUAAGAUAAUAAGACGAGAAGACCCUAUGGAGCUUUAAUUUAUUAAUGCAAUCAAAAACCAUACAAACCCACGGACCUUUAAACUA
rnacentral:lncRNA from 1 species